UUCCAGACUCCUACGGGAGGCAGCAGUGAGGAAUAUUGGUCAAUGGUCGUAAGACUGAACCAGCCAAGUAGCGUGCAGGAUGACGGCCCUAUGGGUUGUAAACUGCUUUUAUGCGGGGAUAAAAUGCGUCACGUGUGAUGUUUUGUAGGUACCGCAUGAAUAAGGACCGGCUAAUUCCGUGCCAGCAGCCGCGGUAAUACGGAAGGUCCGGGCGUUAUCCGGAUUUAUUGGGUUUAAAGGGUGCGUAGGCGGACGCUUAAGUCAGCGGUAAAAUUGCGGGGCUCAACCUCGUCGAGCCGUUGAAACUGGGUGCCUUGAGUGGGCGAGAAGUACGCGGAAUGCGUGGUGUAGCGGUGAAAUGCAUAGAUAUCACGCAGAACUCCGAUUGCGAAGGCAGCGUACCGGCGCCCAACUGACGCUCAUGCACGAAAGCGUGGGUAUCGAACAGGAUUAGAUACCCUAGUAAU
rnacentral:rRNA from 1 species